rnacentral:rRNA from 1 species
UACGAAGGGGGCUAGCGUUGUUCGGAAUUACUGGGCGUAAAGCGUGCGCAGGCGGCUUCUCAAGUCAGGGGUGAAAGCCCAGAGCUCAACUCUGGAAUUGCCUUUGAGACUGAGUGGCUUGAGUACGAGAGAGGUGAGUGGAAUUCCCAGUGUAGAGGUGAAAUUCGUAGAUAUUGGGAAGAACACCGGUGGCGAAGGCGGUCUGCUGGGGUCGAACUGACGCUGAGGCGCGACAGCGUGGGGGAGCAAACAGG